rnacentral:rRNA from 1 species
ACGGCUCAGUAACACGUAGUCAACCUAACCUAUGGACGGGAAUAACCUCGGGAAACUGAGAAUAAUGCCCGAUAGAACACUAUACCUGGAAUGGUUUGUGUUCCAAAUGAUUUAUCGCCAUAGGAUGGGACUGCGGCCUAUCAGUUUGUUGGUGAGGUAAUGGCCCACCAAGACUAUUACAGGUGCGGGCUCUGAGAGGAGUAGCCCGGAGAUGGGUACUGAGACACGGACCCAGGCCCUAUGGGGCGCAGCAGGCGAGAAAACUUUGCAAUGUGCGAAAGCACGACAAGGUUAAUCCGAGUGAUUUGUGCUAAACGAAUCUUUUGUUAGUCCUAGAAACACUAACGAAUAAGGGGUGGGCAAGUUCUGGUGUCAGCCGCCGCGGUAAAACCAGCACCUCAAGUGGUCAGGAUGAUUAUUGGGCCUAAAGCAUCCGUAGCCGGCUCUGUAAGUUUUCGGUUAAAUCUGUACGCUUAACGUACAGGCUGCCGGGAAUACUGCAGAGCUAGGGAGUGGGAGAGGUAGACGGUACUCGGUAGGAAGUGGUAAAAUGCUUUGAUCUAUCGAUGACCACCUGUGGCGAAGGCGGUCUACCAGAACACGUCCGACGGUGAGGGAUGAAAGCUGGGGGAGCAAACCGGAUUAGAUACCCGGGUAGUCCCAGCUGUAAACUAUGCAAACUCAGUGAUGCAUUGGCCUGUGGCCAAUGCAGUGCUGCAGGGAAGCCGUUAAGUUUGCCGCCUGGGAAGUACGUACGCAAGUAUGAAACUUAAAGGAAUUGGCGGGGGAGCAC